ACACAGACACACUAUCAUUUGGUUCUAAACAAUGACACACACUAAUAUUUAGAUGUACACAAAGACACAAUAAACGAUUAGAUGUACACACAGACACACUAACAAUGAGAUCUACACACAGACACACUAUCAUUUGGUUCUAAACAAUGACACACACUAAUAUUUAGAUGUACACAAAGACAAUAACAAUUAGAUGUACACACAGACACACUAACAAUUAGAUGUACACACAGACACACUAACAUUUGGUUCUAAACACAGACACACACUAAUAUUUAGAUGUACUCAAAGACAACAAUUAGAUGUACACACAGACACACUAACAAUUAGAUCCACACACAGACACACUAACAAUUAGAUGUACACACAGACACACUAACAUUUGGUUCUAAACAAAGACACACACUAACAUUUAGAUGUACACACAGACACACUAUCAUUUUGUUCUAAACAAAGACACACACUAAUAUUUAGAUGUACACAAAGACAUAUUAAUAUUUAGAUGUACACACAGACACACUAACAAUUAGAUGUACACACAGACACACUAUCAUUUGGUUCUAAACAAAGACACACACUAAUAUUUAGAUGUACACAAAGACACAAUAACAAUUAGAUAUACACACAGACACACUAUCAUUUGGUUCUAAACAAAGACACACACUAACAAUUACAUGUACACACAGACACACUAACAUUUGAUGUACACACAGACACACUAACAAUUAGAUGUACACACAGACACACUAACAUUAACAUGUUAAUAACUUUUCUUCUUUUCUCUCUUCUCAGGA
ensembl:lncRNA